GAUCAAUCAAAUAAAAGUUUGCAUUAUUAUGUCAAUGAGAACUGUACAUCCCAAAUUUUGCUAGGGCCCAAAGCACACUUAACAGGCCGAAAUACAAAUUAACCCUCAGCCCAAAAUUAACCCUCACCCACCAAACUCAAACCCAAUAACCAAAAACCCUAAGCCCAAAUAACCAGCCGACAAACUAAAAACAUUUUCAGCAAAAUGAGAGGCAGAAACCCUAGGUGCGCCGCACCUAGGUCCACCCCUAGCACCACACGUGGCCUCGUCGCGUGCCUUUAGCGCCGCCGCACGUCAGCGCCCCAUCCACGCGCAUCAGACACUGCUCUGUCACCUGCACAAGACAACCAACAAAAUAGCAAAUAGAGAAAACAAAUAGAAAACGACAAAUGAAGCAGAGAUUAAACGUUUGUAAUCGGCAAUAAAAGGCUGAAUAAGGCAAUUGUAUUCUUCUUCUGGACAUUUUUACGAACAUUGAAAUAAAAAAAAAGAACAAAAGGUUGUUGUUUUUCAUCUUAUUUUUUUCGAUUCAUUUAUUUAUUUUAUUUGUCAUUUUUUUUACAAAUCUUUUUUUUUAAAAAAACUAUUAAUAAAAGAAGAUAAAGAAAAAGAAUAAGGGAAGAAACCUACCUGGAUCACCAGUGGCUCUGUCGAUGGAUGUCUUCUCGCUGUCGUCAGAAUCGAGCCUUAAAGUGGGUCUAAUGCUCCUUCGGUCCCUCGGGUUGGAAGCCCGACUCUCGAAUAUGCCGUGAAACAAGGGCUGAAAAGCCCAUUUUUUUCGUCGUCGGCCUUUGGUCACGACGGCGCAAGCGGCCCCAAGGCUGGAUUUUGGGGAGGUUUGAGAGAAUGAAAGUUUUUUUUUCUUUCUUUUUUUUAAACAGAAUGGAAGAAAUGGGUUUUUAAAAAAAAGUUUGGCUUUUGUAUGAGACGCAAAACAGGGUAGUUUGGGGCCUGUUUCAGUGGCCCUAAAACGGCGCCGUAUAGGGCCACCCACGUUUGACCCGACCCGACCGCUGGGGAUCCGCAUGUUUAGUCUUGAGGGGAUAUUUACGCAAUACGCCCCUCCGUCCUUGCAGUGUAUUCAAUGCGAUUUCUUUAUUAUUUUCGAUUUUGGCCACGAAUUUUCACGUCUGUUUCAAUUUGGUCCAUAGAUCAUGUGUAUGCGUUUCACUGGAACGACGCCGUUUGGUCAACAUGGGAAUGUUUCUCCUUUGGUCCUUUUCCUUUCACGCGUGACAUGAUCUAAUCCUUUUUGUUGUUUUUUCAUUUCGACCCCAAAAUUUAGUUUGGUUUCCAAUUUAAUCCCAUAUGCGUUAUUAGAGUUAUUUUAUCAUUAAAUUAAUUAUUUUAAUAUUAUUAUUACUAUUAUAUUACAUUAUUAUUGUUAUGAUUUACUUAUGUAUGUCAUUUUAAUUUCAAAUUUUGUUAUAUACAUAUAUAUACAUACACACAUUUUUUUAUAUAUACACACAUAUACAUACAUAUUUUUAUUUAUACAUAUAUACAUACAUAUAUAUAUCUCUUCACAUUUUGAACCUUAUUCAUUUUCUUUAUUGCUAUUUACAUGCUCAUCAUUAUUUUAAAAGAAUUUUUUAAUUUUAUUCGUUUAUUUACUUGUUAUAACAUGAUUGACUUGUCUCUUACAUUUGUUUAUUUCAUUUUUUAUGAUUGUUCAUAUUAUUCAUACUUACAUUACCGAAUUCACUAUUGUUUUGUCACGUGUAUUAGCAUCGUGUUUUAUCUCUACUAUUUUGCGUUAAAUUGUUUUUAUUCAAUGUAUAAAUUAUGACUUUUGAAUAAACAAAAUUUCGUGUUUAGAUUUGAGAAAGUCGUACCCUAACUUACUGGGUUUCGAUUUUUGCAAUAAAUCUAGAUACAUGAAACUUUUCAAACUCUAGUUUUAAAUGAUCUCGGGAAAUUAAGAAAAGAUUGUGUCCUAACUUACUAGGCAUGAUCUUUUCUUUUAGAACCCCUAGAUAGCUAAAUAUCUUUUCAAUAAGUAAAUUUUUCAGCAUGUAUCCUCGUAUCGGGAAUUCGAUACGUUGUGUCCUAAUGUAUUGGAUAUGACAUGUUUUUUUCUUGAUAUGAGGAUUUCUCUAAAAAUAAUAAAGGCAAUAUUUUGCAUUUGGAAAUUCAAGAAAGUGUGCCCUAACGUGCUGGGUUUCGAUUUCUUAUUUGACCAAAUAGCCAAAUAUCCUGUUAAAACUUCAAAGUAUGGGUUUUUCAAACCUUAAGGUGAUCUUGGUUUCGACGGUUUAAAGUAUCGUGCCCUAACGUUCUGGAUGUGAUAUUCCUUCGGAAUAAAAGAAUCUUGAAUUUCAAUCCAUGUUAUUCGAGUUUUUUAAGGAUCAUAUUUUUAAAACUCUUCAAAGUUUUCAAUUUUUGACACUAAGACAUUAAUUAAUCAAUUAGGUACCAAUUUUAGGCGUUGCGAGGGUGCUAAUCCUUCCUCGUACGUAACCGACUCCCGAACUUGUUUUUCUUUGAAUUUCGCAAACCAAAAGCAUUGUUUUAAUAAAUCUAAACUGUUUAUUAAAAACAAAUUUUUUCGAGGUGACCCGAUCACACCUCAUCAAAAAAGAUUAGUGGCGACUCCUAUGUUCGUUUUUGUUUUCAAAAUCCAAGUUGACCCCGUUUCAUUUAAAAAAUAAUGUCAACAAGAAUGAUGAAAUUAAUGAUCCAAAUGAGCCUAAUGAUGUGCUAAAUGUAUCUAAUAUUGAAAAUAUUGGUCUUAAUGAAGAACAAACAAUUUCUCCUGAUAUUUAUGAUCCUAGAAAUUAGGCUAAUCUUGAUAACAAAACAAGUGACAUGGUGAGAUUAGCGAUAGAAAAUGGUUGGCUUAUUCCAAACAUGUUGACAAAGUGUUUUGUUUUUGUUGUAAGUUGUGCAAAUCUACUAGUAAUAAAAGUUUGUUAGCAUAUUAGUAAGAGGAUCAAACAACAUGAAAACAGUGCUGAACAUAUGACUAAUAUGAAUACUUGGAAUGAAAUGAGAGUAAGGUUGGAUAAAAACGAAACAAUUGAUAAAAUCUUGCAAGAACAGAUUAUGAAAGAGAAAGAGUGAUGAAUGCAAGUUUUACUUAGAAUAUUUUCAACUGUUAAAUGUCUUGCUACUCAUAAUUUGACUUUUCGAGGAUCCAAUGAAAAAACCUAUUAAGAUAGUAAUGGUAAUUUUCUGGGAUUGAUUGAAAUGAUUGCUAAAUUCGAUGUGACAAUGCAAGAUUAUGUUAGACGCAUUCAAAACCAUGAAAUUCAUUAUCAUUAUCUUGGGCAUAAAAUUCAAAAUAAGUUGAUUUUCCUUUUGCCUAAUAGUGUUAAAAGUUCUAUAAUUAAGACCAUCAAAGAGGCAAAAUAUUUUUCUCUAAUUUUUGAUUAUACCCUUGAUAUUGGUCAUCAAGAACAAAUGACUCUAAUAAUACGAUGUGUGAAUAUGUCAAUUAAUAAAAUAAAAGUUGAAGAGUACUUUUUAGAGUUUUUGAAGGUGGAUGAUAUAUCUGGAUUGGGACUUUUUAAUGAAUUACAAGAUGUUUUGAAGUCUCUUGAACUUAAUGCUGAUGAUGUAAGGGGUCAGGGUUAUGAUAAUGGUUCCAAUGUGAAAGGGAAGCACCAAGGUGUUCAAAAGCGAUUUCUUGAAAUAAACUCAAGAGCUUAUAUAUGCCUUGUGCUUGUCCUAGUCUGGAUCUUACUUUUAGUGAUAUGGCACAUUCUUGCAUUAGAGCUAUUUCAAUUUUUGGAAUUGUUCAACGCAUAUAUUCAUUAUUUUCGGGUUCUACAAAAAGAUGGAAAAUUUUGCUUAACAAUGUCCUUGAAUUAACUAUGAAAUUUUUAUCUAAUACCUGUUGGGAGAGUCAAAUUAAAAGUGUUAAAACUAUUAGAUUUCAAACUCCCUAAAUAAGAUUGGCUUUGUCGGAAUUAUAUGAAUCUUGUGAAUGCAAAGUCAAAGAGUGAAGCAGAGAGUUCGAUCAAUGCACUUGGGAUUUUUGACAUUUUGCUUGGUAGGGUAAUUUGGUAUGAAAUUUUAUUUGCUAUAAAUAUAGUGAGUAAGAAAUUGCAAUCUAAGUCUAUGUGUAUUAACAUCACCAUAAAGCAAUUAGAAGGCGUAUUGUCAUAUUUUGAAAAGUAUAGAACUGAAGGCUUUACUUCUAGUAUGAAUAUUGCUAAAAGUAUUGCACUUGAUAUGGAUGUAAAGCCUACCCUUCCAACAAAGCAUCAUGUUAUUAGAAAAAACAAUUUGAUGAGAAUAACUAAGAGGGUGAAGAAAUUCAGUCGGGUGAUGAAUUAUUUAGAGUUGAUUAUUUUUUAGUUAUUGUAGACAUGACAAUUACUUCUUUGAAGAGCAUAUUUAAAAACUAAAAACAUUUGAAAGUAUUUUUAGGUUUUUGCUUGAUUCAAAAAAGUUAAAGUCAUUGGAUUAAAAGGAAUUGAGAGAAUGUUGUGCUAGUUUUUACUCUGUCUUUUCUCAUUGUGAUUUAUCAGAUGUUGACUUAAAUGAUAUUUUCUCUAAAUUGAAAGUGUUGAAAUUUACUUUACCGAAUGAAUUAAUGUCAGCCACAAAAAUUCUUGAGUUUGUCAAAUCUACAUAUUGCUAUCCGAAUGUUUCAAUUGCUUAUAGAAUUUUCUUAAUGGCCCCUGUGACUGUGGCAUCAUCUGAAAGAAGUUUUUGAAAGCCAAAGUAUAUAUAUAUAUUCAUUCAAAGCUGUCCACUUGAGUCGUAGUCACUAAAUUAUUUAUAUCUUGAGAUACAGAACUCCAAAUUAAGAUCCGUAAAUUUUAUCUGAAACUAGACUCACAUAUGUUCUUACCAUAAAAUUUUCAGAAUUUUUGGUUUAUCUAUAAAAAUUUUUUUAUGAUUUCUUGUGUUUUUGUAGUUGAUGACAUAGGAGUAGAUUGAAUGAAAAAUAUAUAUAUUUUUAAUUUUGUUAGAAAAUAUCUUAUUCGCUUAAGGUAAUAAAAUGUUUUAUUUUAAUGAAAUUACUCGUAUAUGUUUUUAUUUUAUUUUAUUAAAUUUUAUAAUUUUUUAAAAGGGAUUCCAAUUUAUUAUUUCGCCUAAGCCCCAAAAAUGUCAAGAAGGGACUUGAAUGUGUAUUGUAUCAUAUCAUAUGUAUAAAUCACAAAUAUUUAAAGAAGUUUUUUUAUAUUGUAUGACUAUUUUUGUGAAUAAUUUUAUAGCCAACAUUUUUUAAAUUAACCUCAUUAUUUUAUAAAACUUGUAUGUUUAAUUUUUUAUAUCAUAAAAGAAAACCAAGUCAAACAAUUAUAAUUGUGUAAAUAAUAAAGUUUUAGGAAAUAGUUCAAAAAAAUAAAAAUUGCAUUUUUUUCAAUUAAUUUGUUGUUCAAUUUUCAUUCUAACAUUAAUUAUCAAAAUUUUACAAAAUAAACAAAUAUGUUAUUAUAUUUUAAUAUCUUAAUCAUAUUAACUACGGGGUUAGGUGAGAUAGCAAGGAUCUUUCUUACCUUAACCAGUAGUCGAGGAUUUGAUCAUUGUCUUGGGUAUAGAGUAGCUUUAAAACUCGUGCCCAACAUCUACUCCUUUAAUGAACCUAUAGAACUUGAAUGAUUAGUCAUUGAGCUUACUUUAGUGGAUAUCUUGGGAAAUAAAAAAAUUUCUUAAUCAAUCUAAAAUAAGUUUUUAUAUUAUUUUAGAAAAUUUAGAGUUUACGAGUUGUUAUGGAAAAUGACAUUUAUUAUAUGUCUCAUUUUUAAAUUUAAGUUUUAAUUUUUAUAAAAAUUAAAUUUUAAUUAAAAUCCAAUUUUAUUUAUAAUAACACAUAAAUCAAAAUACAAGUUUAAGUUAAUAAAACAUAAUUAAAUUUAUAUUUUAAAAUUUUUAAGAUUUGAAGUAAUCAAAGAUGAAGUUGAAAAUAUUGCUCUCCGUUUGUAUACAUUUGUGAAGUCAUACACUCAAAUGAUUAAUGGUUCGAGGAUACCUUAAAAUUAUCAACCUCCAAAUUCUAACAGGUUAAUGACAAAAGAUAUCUACAUCAACAUGAUGCACACUUUAUGAAAACCUGCAAUAGCGUUGACACUGAUGAAAAUCUCUUAACGAAGAAGUACAUCCAAUUAUUAAAAUGAAAUUUCUUUAAUUAAUACAAUGAUCUUGAGCUUGAGAUGAUUAUCAAUUUGAAACAAUUGACCUAAAAUUUCUGAACUUAUUCACAAAAUGCAAUGUAUAAUUAACAUAGGUAAUGGAAGAUGUGUCAAUCAUCAAUUACAUCCCUUGCUGAAAGCAUUUAAGCCUUUUAACCAUAAAGAAAUAUUGUCAAAGUCCAUAUGCUUAAUAUGUUUCCACAUCAAUGGAACUAAUACUAAGUUUAUAUGCUAGUUUCCAUACCACCUUAAACAAUGCCAUCAUUGCUUAUUUGUUAAAUUGCAUACUCGUCCAUAAACAUCCUACUAACCAUGGUUUCUGUCCAUCCUCGAGAAGUCCUUGCGUUGUUAACUUUGACCCCAAACCUUCAAUAUCAUCUUUCAUCAUGCAACUUAGUAAACCACUACUUCCAAUCCUCCCUCACUCUGAACUUAGCACUGCAUUCUAAAGCUUCUACAAGAAAUUCGAGAAAAAAACUUGAUGCAGACUGCAAUACUCUUCAAUAACUCACAGGGGAGGCUCUAAAACCAAUAACAAAGUAGGCCAUUGAUCUCUAAGAACAUUCAGAGGUUUGUUUUACAACAACUAAUCUUAAUUAUUGAAGUACUUAACUUUUAACUCAGCCUUAUAAACCAUUAAUUUCUUUGUUAAUGUCAACCGGUGUGACAUAUGGAAAACACAAAUUUAUCUUGCCAAAAAGCAACAAUUAUUGAAAUAUAUGAUUAAACAAGGAAGCUCCUCAUAAACAAAUUUAUAAAUAAUACUUGUUUUGCAUUUAAUACAUGAGCCGCCACUAAUUAAAAUUAAAAGAUGGUCUAUAUCCCAUUUUAUUUAUGCUUCUUUUAACAUUCAUUUUCCAUUGAAAAGAGAUAAAGAUAAUGAUGGAAAGUUUGGAGAAAAUUUUCAAACCUCCUUUCAUCUUUUCUUUGCUUCUACUUGCAUUUUAUUUGAAUUUAAAGGAAGAUCAUUAUGCUGUGGGUCAACCUAAAUGCUAAGUUAUUGUUAUGACCAUACAUUAAUCUAAAAUUAAAUUAAUUUUUUAAAAAAUUUAAUAUGAUUUAUACUUGUUUAGUUCGAAUCUCAUAUUAAUAUAAUGUUUUAUUCUUUUGUAUACUUUUGAACUGUUUUGCCAAAUCAAUAAAAUUAUUUCGUUUAUUUUAUAAAAAAAAUAAUAUGUUACCUAUAAUUUAUUUAUAACUAGUUUUUCGUUUGUAUAUUUUAUAAAAAAAUUUAUUUAUUAGAAAAAAAUGUUUUAAACUGCGUAAUUUAUUUAAAUUUUAAUAAGUUAUAGUUUCUUCUGUAGUUUAAAACCUUUUAUUUAGAAAAAAAUAUAUCAAUAUUUUGAACUUUAAAACAAAAGAAAUAACAUGAUUUUUUUUUUAUAAAUUUGGGGGGAAAUAGUGUUAAUACAUUCAUUUGCUGGAAAAUUUAAAAUAUUUGAAAUUUGAAAAAGAAAAGUAAAUAAGUAGUAAAAUUUGUGCAUUAAUACAAAAAUAAAAUUCCAAUGGGAAAAAACUAAAUAUAAAUGAUAAAAUUGCAGGACACAGUUUUUAAUUAAAAUAAGAAUAAAUUUACCUCAAAAACUAUAUUUAUCUCAUAUUUUAAAACUAAAAUUUUAGAUUUUAUAAAUUUAUAUCAUAUUUUGAAAUUACAAAUACUUGAUAUUUUAAAGUUAGUUUGUAGAGGUAAAAACGUAAAAAGAUUAAAUAUAUACAUUUUUUUGCAUUAAUGCGAAAUAUAAAAGGGUAAAAGUGACAAAAAGUAUAAAUGAUAUGUAGAAGACUAUAGUUAAUAAAUUUAGAAAUUCUUGAGUGAACAUUAGUCACAUCUUAUACACAAUUCUUGAUUCAUUAUUAACGUUUGUCAGUGCUCUUCAUGGUAGACAAAAAAUUGUCCACGAUCCUAUAGAGUCAAACAAAAUAUGACCAACUGUUACAUUUCUCUCAUACUUUAAUUAAAUAUAAAUUAAAUUUAAUUAAAACUACAUUUAUAUCAUAUUUAAAAUAAAAAUUACAUAAAUCUAUCUAUUUUUAAAAUAAAAUAUUAAGUUUUAUUUUUUCUGGUUUAAUUUCUAUAACCCAAGAAAAAUAUUUUAUGUGUAGAAAAAAUUAAAAAAAAUUUACUUUUUCAAUUUUUUUUUUAAAAUGUAUAGAUUUUUCUACAUUUAAAUCUACAACCCACAACUUUUUUGUUUUUUUAAAAAAAUCCCUUUUCUAAUUUUUCAAAAAUGGUUUUAAGAAACAUUAAUCCAAAUUUUGAAUCAAGAAAUACACUAAUCUGCCGUAGUUCGAUAUUUCAAAUUAGGUUCUCUUGAAUACUUAAAGAACUUGUUUUCAAGUAGUUUAUGAAUCUUUUAAUGCUUUUUACCAAUUCUUAAAUUCUAGUGUUAAUGAUAGUUUUUCUUAUAUUUUUACAUCUUUUGAGACCAAAAUUGGCAAAACUAUUUCAUUGGGAGUCUAAUGGUUGAUUUGAGCUUGUAUAGGGACACAACAACGGUCAAACAUUGAGUAAAGUUGCAUCUAACGUGGAUGUCACCACACUAAUGUUAGGAUGUCGUGACACCGAAUCCUUUCACCUUGAGGAUGCAAAAACUUCAACAUAAAAUCAACAUAGAGCCUACUUUCGAGAGAGUCGCGAUACCGAGGGUAGGAUGUUGUGACAUUGAGCCAAAAUUGUGACACCGAGCUUUCAAGGUCAUGAUAGCCUUGAAGGUGUUGAAGUGAAAAAAUUGGAGUCAUCACUAAUGAUGUCGCGACCGACACCGACCAGGGGUUGUCGCGACACUGAGAUCUCCCAAAGCCAAAAUUGUGCCACUAUCGAGGGUGUUGCAACACCAAAGCCUAGGUGUCGCGACACCGAAGCUUGAUGUAUGAAAUACUACAGGGGUAAUUUUGUGUCCAAACAAGCUUAAGUCGUUUCUCAUUUAAGGGCAUAAUUGUCAAUGUUAGUAGGUUAUAAAUAUAUUACCUUAUAAGCUUUUGAGAGAAGAUUGUUGGUGGCUGAACAUUUUUAGGUUAGGUUUUCAUUUCUUUCCAUUUUUAGAUUAGAUUUUUCCUUUUCCUUUUAGAAUAUUUUUUAUUUUUGUUGUUUUAUUUCUUCCUUCUUGUUAAAAACUUUGCAAAAGAGAGAUGAUCAAACUUUUAGGCUUUAUUGGAUUUCCAUCAAUUAAAUGAGCAUUUUCUUAAACUAUUCAUUUUUAUUUUAUGCUAACUAUGUGAUUGAUAAAAUACUUGUUUGAAAUUUAAGUUUGAUUAUAUGCUAAAUUGGUUGAUGGUUGGCUGAUUGGUUAUUUAUUAAGUUAAUAUUUAUUCUUGAUUAAUUGAUUGUUCGAUUAUAUUGAAAUGCUUAAUACGCUAGAAUUGAUGCCUCUAGUGGAAAACCUAGAUAAACGAGACUGAAAGAAGAGUUUUUCAUUAUAUAGUUCAAUAUAAUUGUGUCGAAUAGUGAGACCGAGAGGAGAUCUAUAUCAGUAGGUGAGACCAAGAGGAGAACCUAUGUGGUAUCUUUUAGUCUAGGAUGAGAUCAAGAGGAGAUUCUUAGCUAAGAGUGACAAAAAAUAUAAUCGGCAUAGGUUUAUUAGCUUGGUUAGCGAUUAACAAAUCAAUCGACCAUCAUUUUAUUAUUUACAUUGGCUAAAACAAUAUUGGAAGAAAAUUAGAUUAAUUUGUUUAAUUGAUAAUAUAAUUUUAGUUUAUAAGCAAUUUAUAUUUGAAUUUGCAUUAAUAAUUUUCGAUUCGAUUAGAUUAGUAAUUGUUUAAUUUGUAAUUAACUCGAUAAACACAUUUACCAAUUUGGCAAUCCUUUGGAUUCGAUCCUUGAAAUACUCCAAAGUGUUACAAACACUUAAAAAUAUUACAACUGACCUGUCACACUUGCAAUACACCGCUAUAGUUAUAAUUGUAUUUGUGUUGAUUCAUAACUCUGAUGCACAUACUUUGGGGCGUGGUCACACUAAUGCAAGUCAAUUUAAAUUUUAAAACAUAAAAUGAAAAUGGGUUUUCCACCAUAUAUUUUGCAUUAUUUUUUUCAUUGGCUAAAACUUUUCCAGAAAUUUUUUCCCCCCGAAAAUAUUUCAAAAGAUUCAAGCUUCUUCCUUUUUUAGCUAAAAGUAAAUUAUUUCUUAUGUUAAUUGCCUUAUUUAGGUAGGACAUAAACGUCCAAUGAUGAUAUUGAAAUCAUUAAAGGCAUUAAAUUAAGAAUCUAAUUGGGUCAAACAGAAUAACGAUGAAGCAGUAAAAGGUAGUGCAGGUUUGGCAUCUUCAGGGGGUCUUGUUAGGGAAAAUGAUGGGAGAUGGCUUUUUGGCUAUAGUCAUGGUAUUGGUAGUUGUAAUGUGGAGCAAGAGAAACUCUGGGUGAUUUACGAUUAUCUCAAAUGCUUUAAGAUAAAGGCUUUUGUCGAGUGAUUGUCAAAAGUGAUUGUCUUUGGGCAGUGCGGGUUUGUAACGGUCUCUUACAUAGCACUGCUAAUUGAGCUCUGACAAGACGGAUUUAAAUGCUCUAUAGCAGACAAUGGGUUAUUUCUUUUUGGCAUAUUUUUUAGUCGAACAUAGCAACCGAUUCCAUGGAAAGUCUACUAAAACACAAUCAAAUGGACAUUCACUAGUUUUUGCAACCUCCAACAGUAAUAGUAAGUAGUGGAUUUCACAAGAAAAGAUAUUGAUGCUGUAACACCCUGAUACUCGACCCGAUCACCUGUUCCGAGCUAUAUAUGAUGUCACAUUUGUUUCUAGAGAAACUAUGAACAAUUACAUUCAAUUAGAAUCAUUAAACAUCCAAAUAUGAGUAAUACACGUGUAUAAUAUGAUAUGUAAUCAUUCUCGGGUCUUAUAGGAACUUACGAAAGCCCUUUUUGCUAACCCGAGAUUAAAUUAGAAUCAAAUUGUAAGUGUAAGAGCCUAUUUUUGCCCUGGCCCAUACCAACAAAAUUACCUACAUAAUAAAAACAAAAGCAAUCCAUUUUCAGCAAAUUUAAGCCCCAAAACUACAAGCCCAAACCUAGUAGGCCCAAAAAUUACAAAAACCUAGCCCAAGCAACCUAAACAUUUUUCAGAAAACCCUAGGCCCCUAACCCUAGGUGCGCCGCACCUAGGUCUCCUAGCCUUUGCCACCGCCUGUCACCACCACCUGCGCCACACACCUCCUCCAUUGCACGCCUCUGACAUCUGCAAAGAGAAAUCAAUUGCAAGACGAUAAAAAAAUAGAGAUUAACAGUUUGUAUUCGGCUAUAAAAAGCCAAGAACCAAUGCUUGUAAAACUUCUUCUUUUCUUUACGAACACUAAGAAAUAAAAAUAAAAAAAACUAAGGUGAUUUCCUAGUUUUUUUACUUGAAUCUUUCCUUUUUCUUUACUUUCAUUGUUGUUUUUUUUAUUUUUUAAAAACGAAAAUAAAAAAAAAACAAACAGAAAACGAAAGUUUGAGAGUUGUUUUUUAGUCUUCCCCGAUUGUUUUUUUCUAUUUUUUAUUUAUUUAUUCUGUUUUGUUUCUUUUUAACACGAAAAUAAAAGAAGAAAAAGAGGUGUACCUUUGAAAUCACCGAAAGGCGACGAACUUUGGGCGUCCUACCGCCGUGCACGGCGGCGGCCGGUGGUGCUCCGGUGACUGGGUCCUCGCCGGAUUCCGAGGGCUGAGAGUGUUGAGAGAAUCUUAGAGACUCUCUCUGUGUUUUUGUUGAAAAAUGAAAGUGAAAUGAUUUUUUUUUUGUUUUUUCCUAUUUAUAUGGGGCCCGAAACGGAGCCGUUUUGGGCUUAAGCAUCAAUAGCCAAAACGACGCCAUUUUGGCCUCUGACCCGCGACCCGACCCGGUUAACCAGAGGAUCCGCGCGUUGUCAUGGCCGAAUGGGCUAUUUGCGCUGCGGAUCCUUCAUUUUUGUUAUCUGUCUUCAAUGAAGUCCUUUUAUCCUUUUUAGCCCUUCUUAAUUUGACCCCGAAAAUUUUGAACCCGUUUCAAUUAGGUCCCGCGCAAAACGACUCGCUUUAGGGCUCGGGAUUAAUUUCCCACUUGGUCCCCGCGCCUUUGCAUGCGUUUCAAUUGACCCCAGAUUGCUCUUUUUGGUUCAAAUUUCGCCCACUGACUUUAUUUUAAUUCCCAUUUGGUCCCCAGUUGAUUUAAAUUCAAAUUUUGUUCUUUUUAAAAAUAAAAAAGGCAAAAACAGUUAUCAAAUAUUUUAUUUAAUAUUUCCUUUAUUUUGUUUUCACGUUUUGUUUAUUAUUUAUUAUUGAUUAUUUGUUGUUAUUAUUUAUUACUCUUAUUUUCGCUAUAUCGCUCUUAUUAUUCUCCAUAUUAUCAUUUAUAUUGUUAUUAUUCUCUUUGUUAUUGUUCCCCAUAUUAUUAUUUGUACUCUUAUUAUUGUCUUUGUCAUGCAUGUUAACAUUAGGAUUUAUUAGUAUCAAUGCUUUGUAUAUAUUUUAUGAUGCAUAUUAUGUCAUGGAUUUUAAAUGUAUGUUGUAUAUUCAUUAUAGGUCGUGUACGACAUUCUUUAUGUUUUGAACAAUUUCUUUUCAAAUAUAAUCAAAAUUGCACGCAUUUUUUUUUAAAAUUCCAUUAAUUCGUACUCCAAAUUCAAAAGGGUAAAAUUUCGAAAAUAAGGUAAUAUUUUGCAUUUUAGAAAUUCGAGAAAUUGUACCCUAACUUACUGGGUCUCGAUUUUCUUGUUAAACCUAAAUAGAAAAAUAUCUUUUUAAAUUUCCAAAAGUAAAAAUUUCGAAAAUAAAGGCAAUAUUUCGUAUUUUGAAAAUUCGAGAAAUUGUACCCUAACUUACUGGGUCUCGAUUUUCUUGUUAAACCUAAAUAGCAAAAUAUCCUUUUAAAUUUCCAAAAAUCAAAAUUUCGAAACUAAAGGCAAUAUUUUGUAUUUAGAAAAUUCGAGAAAAUCGUGCCCUAACUUACUGAGCUUCGAUUUUUCUCGCGUUGAUCCUAAAUAACCAAAUAUCCUUUGAAAAUUAAAAUAAAUGAGGUUUAAAUAAAAAAAUAAAAGGCAAACUUACUCUCAAAAUACGAGGUGUCGGGUCCUAACUUACUGGAUGUGACAUCUUGUUACUUCGAGAUAAGAAGGCAUUUUUCCAUUUUGAUUUAUUCGAGUAAUUUUAAAAUAACACACGUAAAUAAGGAUCGUAUUUUUAAAUUCUUUAAAGUUCUCAAUUUUCGACACCAAGACAUUAAGUAAUCAACUAGGUACCAAUUUUGGGCGUAUCGAGGGUGCAAAUCCUUCCUCGUGCGUAACCGCCUCCCGAACCCGUUUUUCUGAAUUUCGUAGACCAAAAUCGUUGUUUUAAUAAAAAUUAAAUCGUUUAUUAAAAACAACCACUUUUUGAGGUGACCCAAUCACACCUCAUCAAAAAAGGAUUGGUGGCGACUCCCGUUUUCGUUUUUAUUUUCAAAAUCCAAGUCGACCCCUUUUUAACAAAAAAAUGGUGUCAACAGUAAGAAUUCAAAAUGUUGGGUUGACAUUGUGACUUCGGAGAUCCCUCGUCGCAAUGUUAAGAGUAUCUCAUCGCGACGUGACUCUCUGUUUUGAAAAUGGCCAAAAUGGCAUUAACUUGCAUCACUUAGAAAAAAAAAUCAUCACAAUCAAUCACCAAUUUAGCCUAAUAUGCCAUUCUCAAUGUUCAAUCUUAGCAUAUCUCAUCAUAUAUACCUUUAUAUUACCUAAACUCAUAUAUUAACAAAAACACUUAUACAAUUACCAUUGGUUUACCAAAUUGACAUAUAUAUAUUCACAUAUAAUCUCAAUAUUGCAACCAUUCAAACAAAUCAAAUAAGUACCAAAUCCAUAUAUGCAAUUCAACCAUUUGACCAUUUUCAAGCUUCAAUUAUGAACGUAUUUACACCUUAUACAAAAACCGACUCAACCUAGGUACAUGUCGUCGUGUAACGAACAAAUGAGACUUUACAAACAUUUAUGAGUCAGGGAUUUUAGACCGGAUGUUGGAAUCACUUCUUGGGCACAGGGAAAACAAAUCAUACAUUGGACGAUAACUCUCAGUGGUAUUUCCAUGAUUCAAGUCAAUAUAACAUAAGUUAAAUUAAUUUCAAACAUUCAAAUCAAAUUCCAUUUUCAUCCAACUAUUAUGUUAUCAUACUAAUUUUUAAUCAACAUAUCAAUCUACAUAUGCAACUACAAGCACCAAAUAUACCAUAUAAAUCAAUCUAUGCACAUUUCAAUUAACCAACCUAAAGAUUAUACCAUAUUAACAUAUUAGCAUUAUUGAUUUCAAAACUAAAGCUCAUUGUUAAUGUUUAUAUCUACAUAUGCAGGUUGUGUUCAAAUAGUUGGUUUAGGCCUAAGAUUAAUGAUUAUGCACUUGAAUGAAUCUUGAAUUGGUUUUGGAUAUAUGAAUGGUUGAAAUUAGAUUGAUUAGUUAUUAUUCUGAAGUUUAUAAAUUGGUGUAUUUUUACAUGAGAAAAUUGGUAAACUAUGAAGUGUUUGCAUGAGAAUAUAUAUGCGAUUCCAAGUCUCUUUUAGCUUGUAACAUGUUGAAGUAGGUAGUAACAGAAUAUCACGUCACAACGAUGAACUCUUGGCAUCAUGAUGAGGACCAGUGCAGGAUUCUCACAGCGAUGUUGUUACUUCGAGGUCACGACAAGCCUUUACAACGAGUCACAUUGCGAUGUUGACUCGAAACUUUGUAGUUUUUUACAUUUUGGUCUAUAUCAACCUUGAGUUAGCAAAUGAGCUCUCGUAAGCAUGUAAAAGAGCUAGAAACGAUUAUAUAAUGUUUGUAAAGACCCAUUUAUGCCCGGGCCCGAAACCAGUUAAAAGUCCAUAAUAAAACAAAUGUCCAUUUACAAACCCAAAAUGCCAACCCAAAAUUAAAUUUAACCCAACAGGCCCAAAAAUUAAAAAACCUAACAGCCCACAAACUAAAAAAGUUUCAGCAGUAGCAAACCCUAGCCACAUGCAGCUAGCCACUGCCCAUGUCCGCCGUUCCGCCUCACGCACGCCGCCACCGCUUGAGAUUCACCUAUCAUCGGCCAUCCACGCGUCUGAUAUCUGCAAAACAAACCACACGCAACAACAGAUAACUUAAAUAGCAGGACGACAAAAAAGAUAGAGACGAAAGGGCUGUAAUUUGGCUAUAAAAGCCAAAAUUUUCUUGUUGUAUUUUUUUACGCGUACAUUGAUUCGAAACAUAUAAAAAAUCAAUCAAAAACAGAAAGUGUUUUUCUUUAAGGUGAUUAUUUUUUAUUUCAAUCCUUUUUUAUUUAUUUAUUUGUUCUUUUUGUUGUUCAAAAAAAAGGGAAAGGGUACUUACCUGAGCGUCGUAAUUUCGUCGUCGGAGUCCCUCCUCUCCGUUGCCGAAGUCGGGCAUAAAGGGUGAAGGGACCCCUUUUCCUUUUUCUCUUUUUCUCGCAGAAGAGAGGGACCGAGAAAGCCCUGUUCCGCGUGACCCUGGCCGUCGUUCUCGGGGGCGCCACGACGACGCACGGUGGUCUGGUAUUUGGGCCCCCCAGAACUGGGAAGAAAACCCUAACUGAGGAAAUGGGGGGGCAUUUUCUUUUUUAUGUUAAAAAGAACAAACAGCAAGUGAAAGGGAGGAUUUUCGCUCUCAUUAAGGCGUAAAACGGCAUCGUUUAGUACCAGAUUCAGUGGCUCCAAAACGGCGCCGUAUAGGGCCACCCAUAUGCGCGACCCGACCCGCCGGUAGAUCCGCGUGUUUUGGCUCUGAAGGGAUAUUUUCACACGAGGUCCCUCCACUUUCUCUCGGUGCUGCAAUAUGAUCCCUGUUGUCUUUUUAUUUGGGUGCGUGAUUUUUCCAUUCGUUCCAAUCUGGCCCACGUUGAACGCAGCGCAUAAGGGUUGGGAAUAUUUUCCCAAUUAGUCCCUCACUGUUAAAGCGCGUUCUACCUUGGCCCUUAAUGCCUCUUAUUUAUUUACAGUUUCAACCCCUAUAUUCUAGUCCGUUGCCAGUUUCAUCCUUGGUUCUUUAAAUUUUUUAUUUUUUAUUUAUUUUUUUCCUUUUUUAUUUUUCUUUUAAAUUGCUUUUGUUUAUUAUUAUUAGUUUUCUUGUUUGUUUUGAUUUCAUUUUUAUUUUCUUUUUAAACUGUGUAGUUUUUUCUUUAUAUAUAUUAUUUCAUUUAAACAGUUUUAUUUUUUUACGUAUUAUUUAUAUUAAACCAUUUUUGUUUAUAUAUAUUAUUUUAAAUUUCCAUUUCUAUAUGACAUUCCAAAUUUUUUUAUAUGGUAUAUGGAUUUGCUUUUAUUAUUUUUUAUUUUAUUUUAUGUUAAGAUGUAUUAUAUAUGUUAACGAUUAUAAACUGUUUUACACUAUUUCCUUUAAAUUGCCAUUUUUUUUAUUUUGAACUCAUUUUAUGUAUUAUUUAGUUAAAAUCGUUUUAUUAUUUUAAAAUUGUUUUAUAUACCUUUUUUAACGCAACUUAUUUAUUUUAAAAUGCUUCAUUUGUGUUUCUUUUCAAAGAUUUUUCUUUUCUUAUAUUACUUAUCUUAUACUUAUAUAUAUGUACAUCAUUUGUUUUAUUUAUUUAUAUAUAUAUAUAUAUCAUCUUUUUUUUUAAAUUGUUUUGUAUGUUAUUAACCUCAAAUUUCUUGUUUUGCAUUAUCCAUUUAACUAUUUUAAACUCAUCACUAUCAUUUUAAAAUUAUUUUUUUACAUUUUAUUUGAUUUUAAUUUGUUUUAUACCUUUUUUAAAUUAUUGUUUAAUUCAUUAAUCUUUAUUUAUCGAUGUUUAUAUUUGAAUGAAGAAUGUUGUGAGAUUAUUGCCAUUGCGUGUACUUUAAUUUGUUUAUUCGCUUUCAUAUCAUUGGUAUUCACUUGCAUAAUAUUGUAUUCGUGUAUUAUUGUCUCGUGUGCGCUAUUAUAUUUUAUUUCAUGUCAUUGCGUCGUGGAUAUUUCAAUGUCUUUGUUCAAUAUAAUCCACUUCGUUUACUCCUAAACAAAAUAAAUGUACGUCUUUAAGUGUUGUACUCAUGACUAUUCAAAAAGAUUUUCUAAAUAAGGCAAUAUUUUGCGUUUAGAAAUUCGAGAAAACGUGCCCUAAAGUGCUGGGUUUCGAUUUCUCGUUUGACCAAAUAGCCAAAUAUCCUCUUAAAAUUUCAAAGUAUGGGUUUUGGAAACCAUAAGGUGCUCUUGGUUUCGAGGGUUUAAAGUAUCGUAUCCUAACGUGCUGGAUGUGAUAUUCUUUCAGAACAAGAGAAUCCUAAAUUCCAACCAAUGUUAUUCGAGUUUUUUAAGAUCGUAUUUUUAAAACUAUUCAAAGUUUUCAAUCUUCGACACUAAGACGCUAGUUAAUCAACUAGGUACCAAUUUUGGGCGUUACAAGGGUACUAAUCCUUCCUCGUACGUAAUCGACUCCCGAACCCGUUUUUUUAUUUCAUGGACCAAAAUCGUUGUUUUUUAAAAAAUCAAAUCGUUUAUUAAAAACUUUUCAAGGUAACCCGAUCACACCUAAUCAAAAAAGAUUGGUGGCGACUCCCGUUUUAAUUUUUGUUUUCAAAUCCAAGUCAACCCCGUUAUCCCAAAAAAAAUGGUGUCAACAAUGUUUAAUACAUAUUUUUUUCAUUUGUAAUUGAAUGUAUAUUGAUUGUCAAAUUGAACCAUUAAAUAUUGGAAUUGCUCCAACAACGAAUGUGACACCUUGUAGUCUGGACCUGACGGUUGAAUUGGGUAUCAAGGUGUUACAACUAACUGAGAUGGUGGCCCAAUUAAAGAUGACUCCAACUCAAUAAAAUACUUAAUAAAUAGUAUAAAUAUUAAAAUUUAAAUCUUUACUUGUUAAAAACAUACACUUAAAUUCCUAAAAAAAAAAAAGGGACAGACACAUAAAAUUCUUAAGAAAUCACAACUAACUCAUACAAGAAAUCAAGAAAACACGUAGGAAGUAAUCAUAAUUAAAUGCACAUGAUUCCAUUUCCAUACAUAUUCCAACACCAAUAAUUAUUUGUAAUUUAUGAUUAUGGUUAAAAUUUGUUGCACCAUUUCAUAUAAGUCGAAAUAGGAGUGGACAACAAAUGCUUCAAACCAAAGUUUUCACUCUUAAUAUAUAUAUUUGGGAUCUUUCUUUGUGCCACGGUGUUUCUCUAAAGACUGGUUAAAUAUUAUUUGUUUUCUGAUAAAAAUAUUUAUAUAUUAAAAAUAACAUUUAUUAAAUUAUGUUUAUUUAAUUAUAAAUUAUAAAUUAAUUAUAAUAUCAUAUAUAUUUUAUAAAAUAAGGUACUUAAAAAAUAUUAUGUGAAAACAUAGAAUUAUGAUAAAUGAACACAUUUAUUACUUGGCAUUGGACCCAUGUUUUAAUUAAUAUAUAAUAUUUAGGGGUGAAGCUGGGCUUUGCAGGAGUUCGCUCUCUAAAUUGAAAAUUUUUAAUUUUAACUUUUUUAUAAUUUAUAAAAUUUUAAAUUAGUAACAGUAAAAUUGCAUUUUAACUCCUUAAAUAUAAUAAAUUUUAAUUUAAUUCUUUAAAAAUUGUAAAGAUAUCGACUAUUAAAAUGAUAAAAUUACACUUUUAUUAUCAUAAAAAUAUACAACUUAAUUCCGUCUCCAAUUUUUUUUCUUGCUUCGCCCUUGAUAAUACUUCAUUUAAUUUAAGAAUGAGUAUGAAUAAUUCUUUCAUAUUUAGAAUCAAUUCUCUUUGUUGACACAAUUUUUUUUGAUGAAAACGGGGUCGACUUGGAUUUUGAAAACGAAAACGAAAACGGGAGUCGCCACCAAUCCUUUUUUGAUGAGAUGUGAUCGGAUCACCUUGAAAAGUGGUUGUUUCAAUAAAUGAUUUAAUUUUUAUUAAAACAACGAUUUUGGUCUACGAAAUUUAGAAAAAGGGGUUCGGGAGUCUGUUACGCAAGAGGAAGGAUUAGCACCCUCGAUACGCCCAAAAUUGGUACCUAGUUGAUUACUUAAUGUCUUGGUGUCGAAAAAUAAAAAUAAAAAAAUUCGAAAAUAAUUUAAAAAUACGAUCCCUCCUUAUAUUGUGUUAUCUUAAAAAAAAUUACUCGAAUAAAUAAUGAAAAAAUGCCUCCUUAUCUCGAAUUAACAAGAUGUCACAUUCAGUAAGUUAGGACACGACACCUCGUAUUUUUGAGAGUAAGCUUGCAUUUUAUUUUUUAUUUAAACCUCAUUUAUUUCAAUUUUAAAAGGAUAUUCGGUUAUUUAGGAUCACGAGAAAAAUCGAAGCCCAGUAAGUUAGGGCACGAUUUUCUCAAAUUUUCUAAAUACGGAAUAUUGCCUUUAUUUUUGAAAUUUUAUGCGUUCGGAAAUUUAAAAGGAUAUUUUACUAUUUAGAUUUAACAAGAAAAUCGAGACCCAGUAAGUUAGGGUACGAUUUCUCGAAUUUCCAAAAUGCAAAAUAUUGCCUCAUCUUUAAAAUUGGUUACGAAUUUGAGUGAAAUAGUAGUGGAAUGAAAAAACAUUUGAUUCAUUAUGCCUUUAAUAGAACAAUUUGACAACACGAAAGGAAUCAUACGUGGCUAUACAACACAUUUAAAUAACCAUGGUAUAAUAUGCGUAAAAAAUACAAAUAUUUGAUAUCUAAGAGUUUUAAUGUCAACAUGCAUAGACAAUAGUUAUAUAAGCAAUAAUAUAAAGAUAACAAUAAUAUAGUAACAAAAAAAAUGUAAUACAAAGGAAUCUAAAUUUGAAAAGUAUUUUGAUAAUAACAAAUAAAUAAAAUCACAAUGAUAAAUGAAAAUAAAAUAAAUCAACCAAAAUAAAAAACCAUGAAUAAAUAAAUGAAAAUAAAGCCAAUGUAAUUCUAACCAAAACCAGAAAACAAAUAAAUAAAUAUUAGAUAACUGAUUUUUGCUAAAAAGAAUUAUAAAACAAAGUAAAAAUAAAAAAAAAUUCAAAAAUUGAUAGGCUGAGGAUCAAAUCGCAAUCGGGCUGAAAUUUCGGGGUCAAAAUCACAAAAUAAAAAAACAAGGGGAAAUUGAAACGCGCUCGAAGCACGAGGGACCUGUAGAGAAAUAAUCCCCCAGUCCAGAAACGCAGCGCUUUGACAGAUGGACUGCACAUGGCCCAAGGACCGAAUUGAAACUGAGGCAAAAUUCGCGGCCCAAUUUCAAAAUAGAUGAAAAAGGAUCGGAUUGCACAACAGCCCAAGAGCGAAAGGGCUCCGCACGCAAUUAGUCCCUUCACCGCAAACACGCGGAUCCUGAGGAUGGGUCGGGUCGGCACUCGGGUAUACCGACGAAACGACGUCGUUGUGACGUCAGUAAAAUUUGCGCAAAACGGCGCCGUUUUCUAGUUGCCAUUUAAACCCUUUUUUUUCUGAAGAAACUUCAUUUUUAGUGUAAAAGAAAAAAACUUAAAAAAACAUUUCUCUCUCAAACUCCCCCCCAAAUCUGGCCACGUUCGCUGCCGUAGCGCCACCGUGUCCGGUGGCCGGCGUCGCGCGAAGAUGCCUCCUCGACCAGCAAUUUGAAGCGCGUUCAAAAGCCGAGUCCUUGGAGCCUGAAAUCGGAGAAAGAGGGGUCAUUUGCCCCUUCCCGCGUUCGGAUCCCACGAUGGCGAAGAGACCAACGGCGGGGUUACCGGUCGGUUCAGGUGAUUUCUUUCCCCUUUAUUAUUAUUUUUAUUUAAACUGAUUUUAAAGAUUUGGACAAAUAAAUAAAAUAACAAAUAAGAGAAAUGGAAAACAGAGAAAAACAAUGAAAUUGUUCAACCUUUUCGAAUCUUUUUUUUGUUUUCGAUUAACUGGUGCGCGUAAAAAAAUACAAGUCAUCGAUAAUGGCUCUUAUAGCCAAGUUACAAACUCCUUAAUGAUUAUUUCCGUCAUUUUGCGAUUUGUUUCGUUGUUUGCUGCUUCGACUUUUUGUUUUUUUUCUUUCUAUUAUUUUUCUCUUUUUGCUUGCGCGCUGUUUACUGGUUUGCAGGUGUCAGAGGACGGAUGGCCAACGAUUGGCGAACGAGUGGCGGUGGCACUGAAGUUGGCAGAGGCGUGCGGCACUGGAGGGUUAGGGAGCCCUAGGUUUGCUGAGAAUAGUUUGUGGGCUAGGGUUGUAAAUGGGUUUUGGGCUUAUUUUUAUGUUUGGGCUUAUUUUGUUUUUUUUGUAAAAUGGACUGUGGGUAUUCUAUUGGUUAUUGGGCCCGGGCGAAAUCUGGGCCUUACAGCUGCCCCUCUUUGCUCAUUGUCGUGUAACGAAAAUAGAGCAAAGACUAAAAAAGGCUGAUUUUGCCCGGUCUCGCCAAGUCUUGACUUCCUGGGGUGCCUCUCUUCUUUAAGUAGCCUCCUUCCAGUCCACUGUGUCUUGUUCCUUCGAUCCAUUUCACGGCAUCUUUAGAGAGAUAUGACUUCAAUCUACUUUACUGCAACUUCAGGGAGAUUGAUUUCUUCUGUCUACUCCACUACUGAUUAGGGAGAUAAGACUGGAUAUGAUCUGCUCCACUACUGCUUAGGGAGAUAAGAUCAAUUUUUUUUUCAAUCCACUUCCUACCAAUAUAGGAAGACAGGACCUGCUAACUUCGAUCUACUUCAUGCCAUUACAUAAAGACAAGAUCUGCAUCUUCGAUCCACUUCCCACCAAUAUAAGAAGAUAGGAUCUGCUAUCUUCGAUCUACUUCACGCCAAAACAUGAAGACAAGAUUUACCUCUUCGAUCCACUUCCUACCAAUAUAGGAAGAUAGGACCUGCUAUCUUCGAUCUACUUCACGCCAAAACAUGAAGACAAGAUCUUCUUUCUUCGAUCUACUUCGCCACCAAUAUGGGAAGACAAGAUCUGCACCUUCGAUCUACUUCACGACAAUACAUGAAGAUAAUAUCUACCUCUUCGAUCCACUUCCUACCAAUAUAGGAAGAUAGGACCUGCUAUCUUCGAUCUACUUCACGCCAAAACAUGAAGACAAGAUCUGCUUUCUUCGAUCUACUUCGCCAUCAAUAUGGGAAGACAAGAUCUGCACCUUCGAUCUACUUCACGCCAAUACAUGAAGAUAAGAUCUACCUCUUCGAUCCACUUCCUACCAAUAUAGGAAGAUAGGACCUGCUAUCUUCUAUCUACUUCACGCCAAAACAUGAAGACAAGAUCUGCUUUCUUUGAUCCACUUCACCACCAAUAUGGGAAGACAAGAUCUGCACAUUCGAUCUACUUCACGCCAAUACAUGAAGAUAAGAUCUACCUCUUCGAUCCACUUCCUACCAAUAUAGGAAGAUAGGACCUGCUAUCUUUGAUCUACUUCACGCCAAUACAUGAGGACCUGCUAUCUUUGAUCUACUUCACGCCAAUACAUGAAGACAAGAUCUGCUUUCUUCAUUCCAUCCCACUGCAACUUCAGGGGUAUAGGAUCUGUUUCUCUGAUCUGUUCUUUGGGGAACAUGACCUAUAAAAAUCAAUUUUAUGGACCUAUUUAUGCCUAGUGUUCAGGAUGACAUGAUCAGAAUGGAUCAAAUGCUCCUAACUAGAUGUGUAUGAAUGACAUUUGCAGAAUGUCAUGAGAAUGAUCCCUGCUUAGGUUGUCACUACUCAAAAUUUAUUAAAGGUUCUAUCAUCGAUGCCUUCUCGUUCAGCUGGUAUCUUUGGUAGAAAAAUUAAGGAAGUAGUUGCAAUUUAGACUAUUCUUCCUCCAAUGCUUUUAACCCUUAAGUUUGGUCAGUUCUAAACAAUAAUCCUGUUUCAGGUCCUUGUAUUAUUUAGAAACUUUCAGAGUAAUAUGCAGAACUUCUUCUGCUUGAAUAUUGUCAAUCCAGUAAUCGUUAUUUCAAUGAAAAUGCUUGAAUAAGAUUACCAAAAUAGACAAGAUAGAAUUUUGUUAAGAGCAAAGCUCUAACAAAUAAAUCAAUCAAGAUAACAAAUUUUGUUGAGAUGCGAAAUGAAUAAGAUGAAAAAGAUUAUCACAAUGGAUAAAAAUGAAAAUUAAUCAAGAGCCAAGCUCCAAAUGAACAAAUUAAUCAGGAUAGAGAUUUUCCUAAGAUACAAAAACGAAUGAGAUGAAAACAGGUGCUCCAGAUAUCGCAGCGUGAGCCUCUCUGCCCUAAACUUCUUGAAGACCCUUUUGAACUUGACAUGUGUUUAGAAGUCCUAAAAGCCUUUAUUGAUGCCCCAAGAUGUAGCAUCUCUCCUCUUAUUAACUUGGAGAGUAUAAGACUAUCGUAUGCCUCAUAUUUGAUCACAAAAAAUUAAACUGCCCAUUCCUGGGUUUUCAAUUCAAUACCCCUUUGGUCUCAAGGCGCCAUUUGCGGGUUUUCACCUUGGCCUCUCCCUUCUGUUUUCUUUUUUUUUAGGCAAAGUACUUCUUCACUAAAUCCGAAUUCACAGGAUUGGCCAAGAUUUUGCCAUCCAUCUCGGUUAAAAUUAACGCUCCUCCAGAAAAAGCUUUAUUUACUACAUAAGGUCCCUUCCAGUUUGGCAUCCACUUUCUUCUAAAGUCUUUUUGUAUGGGAAGGAUCUUCUUCAGUACCAAGUCCCCUUCAUGGAAGUUUCUAGGAUGAACUUUCUUAUUGUAAACUCGCAUCAUUCGUUUCUGGUACAUUUGACCAUGACGGAUAGCUCUUAACCUCCUUUCUUCAAUCAAGUUCAACUGAUCGAUCGGGAUUGGACCCAUUCUGCUUCGUCUAACUUUAGUUCUGACAAAACUCAGAGAGAGGGAAUUUCAACCUCAAUUGGUAGCACUGCCUCCAUUCUAUAAACCAAAGAGAAUGGUGUUGCCUCGGUAGAAGUCUUGACGGACGUUCGAUAAGCAUAGAGGGCGAAUGGUAACUUCUCGUGCCAAUCUCUAUAGGUCUCAGUCAUUUUCCCCACAAUCUUUUUGAUAUUUUUAUUGGCUGCCUCUACCGCGCCGUUCAUAUUCGGACGAUAUGGCGAUGAGUUGUGGUGCUUGAUCUUGAAUUGACUGCAAACCUCUGCUAUCGUGCUAUUGUUCAAAUUUAAUGCGUUGUCAGAUAUAAUCCUUUCGAGCAUUCCAUACCAACAUAUGAUUUCCUUCUUUAAAAACUUACUGACGGUUGCCUUUGUGACGUUGGCGUAAGAAGUAGCCUCUACCCACUUAGUAAAGUAGUCAAUCACUACAAAAAUGAAACAAUGUCUGUUUGAAGCCUUUGACAAUAUCGGCCCAAUGACGUCUAUGCCCCACAUGGAGAAAGGCCAUAGGGAAGUCAUGACGUGAAGAGGUGAGGGAGGCACAUGAAUUUUGUCUCCGUAAAUCUGGCAUUUAUGGCACUUCUUAGCAUAUUUGAUGCAGUUUCCUUCCAUGGUAGACCAAUAAUAUCUGAAUCUCAUGACUUGUCUGGCCAUUGUGAAACCGUUAGCGUGUGUUCCACAAAUACCAUCAUGGACUUCUUCCAAUAUCUGCUUGGCCUCCAAAGCAUCCACACAUCUCAACAGCACCUGAUCCUUUCCUCUUUUAUACAGGAUCUCUCCAUCUAAGACGUAGUCAUUAGUCAGCCUUCUCAACAUUCUCUUGUUAUUCUCAGUUGCUUGGUUCGGGUAUUCGCGAUUUUUCACGUAUCGCAAUAUGUCCUGAUACCAAGAGUUGUCGUCUUUUUCCUCUUCCUCGUCAAUGUUACAACAGUGGGCUAGAGCAUCAUAAAUGCUCAUUUGGAUAGGCUUCACAUCCUCUUGUUUAUUUACUUUCAUCAUGGAAGCCAAUGUAGCCAAAGCAUCGGCUAUUUGAUUCUCAUCUCGCGGGAGAUAACAGAAAGUGAUAUCAUCAAAUUCCUCAAUCAAUUCGAGAACCAGCUUUCGGUAACUGAUCAAUUUGGGAUCCCUUGUCUCCCAUCCGCCUUUGAGCUUAUAGAUUACUAGUGCGGAAUCUCCAUACACCUCUAGUACUUUGAUUUACGUUCAAUAGCUGCACGGAUACCCAUAAUGCACGCUUCGUACUCUGCCAUGUUAUUUGUGUAAUCAAAGUCUAAUUUGCUAGUGAAUGGAUAAUAAUCUCUGUUUGGAGAUACCAAGACUGUCCUAAUUCCGUUGCCUACGGCGUUUGAAGCUCCGUCGAAGUUUAAUUUCCAAACAUCGCCUUUUUGGUUAUCAUCUUCAGCGGUUGCUACAUACAUCAGAUCCUCAUUUGGAAAAUCAAAGCUCAAAGGCUAAUAAUCUUCUAAAGCUCUGCUAGCCAAAAAAUCUACUAUUGCACUCCCUUUUAUAGCCUUUUGACUCACAUAAACUAUGUCAAAUUUAGACAGUAGAAUUUGCCACCGGGCCAUCCUUCCGUUUAGAGUAGUCGAUUCCAUCAAGUAUUUCAGAGGGUCCAACUUUAAGAUUAACCAAGUUGUAUGGUAUAACAUGUUUUGUCUCAAUCUCCGAGUAGUCUAGACCAAGGCGCAGCAUAAUUUUUCAAUUGGAGAGUAUCUCGUUUCGCAUUCAGUGAACUUCUUGCUGAGAUAGUAGAUUACUCUUUCUUUU
rnacentral:lncRNA from 1 species